GGAUCUCAAGUUUUCAAAAAUCAAAUUUUGUUUGAUUUCUUUUUUCCGCUGCGAUUUUACCGUACGCAAUUUUUUAAUAGAUGGUAGUUGGAAAGGUGGCGAUUUGGGUGGAAUUGGUGUCCUCGUUACUAACCAGUAAGGUGUUUGCCUGUGUAUUUUGGAUUUUGUUGAAAAUAUUUAUGAUGCGCUGUCAACUGAAAUUGAAGCAGUGUCGAAAGCAACCAAAUUUCUCUUGGAUACCUUUCUGGGAGAACGAAUUCAGAUAUUCUCAGACUUAGCAUUGAUUAUUAUAACGAUUCACUUCAAAUCUGACU
rnacentral:lncRNA from 1 species